rnacentral:rRNA from 1 species
AGUGAACGCUGGCGGUAGGCCUAACACAUGCAAGUCGAACGGCAGCACAGUAAGAGCUUGCUCUUACGGGUGGCGAGUGGCGGACGGGUGAGGAAUACAUCGGAAUCUACUUUUUCGUGGGGGAUAACGUAGGGAAACUUACGCUAAUACCGCAUACGACCUACGGGCGAAAGCAGGGGAUCUUCGGACCUUGCGCGAUUGAAUGAGCCGAUGUCGGAUUAGCUAGUUGGCGGGGUAAAGGCCCACCAAGGCGACGAUCCGUAGCUGGUCUGAGAGGAUGAUCAGCCACACUGGAACUGAGACACGGUCCAGACUCCUACGGGAGACAGCAGUGGGGAAUAUUGGACAAUGGGCGCAAGCCUGAUCCAGCCAUACCGCGUGGGUGAAGAAGGCCUUCGGGUUGUAAAGCCCUUUUGUUGGGAAAGAAAAGCAGCAGGUUAAUACCCCGCUGUUCUGACGGUACCCAAAGAAUAAGCACCGGCUAACUUCGUG